CAAGGGGACAGCCCCCCUUCUCCCUCUCGGUAGGCAGAAAUGAGGGCAUUGCCGAUGAAGUGGUGAUCGGAGAAAUAAGUUUACAUGCAAUAGUGUCUUCUGACUGAGGAUUCGAUACCUGCCCAAGUCACGAAGCAAGCAAGAAAGAAAGCUGGAAGUGGUAACCCAUAAAAAGGGAGUUCAGUUGUUGGUGACUUGAUAGCAAGUUGUAUGCAAAGAACUUUAGGACAAGUAAUGGCUGGAAUUUCAGGCUGCCUUGUGGAAUUUCAGGAAAAAAACUUGCGUGAUUCUCCACCAGCAAUGUCAAAUCUUUUCUUUGACUGAAUCUAUUCUGGAUUUCUUGCUGAACGCUAUUGUGAUAUUUUGGGUCACUUGUUUGAUUUCUACCAUGUGAUGGUGGGGUGUUGAAUGUCUUCCUCUUGAGAUCGUUGGUUUUUGCUAUCAGAUGGUGGUUCUUUUUGUUCAUUGACAAUGGUUCAUGAUGGUUCUUCUAGCAUAUUUACAAUUUCGUGGGUAUUUUGGUCUUUUCAUGAAUAUUAAAUUUUGGGAGAAUUGCAAUUGCAUAUUUACAACUUGUCAUUGACUUUUUAAUAAUUAUUCUGUCUCACAA